AUACCGAGACCGAGGAGAGACGAAAUGAAAAAUAAGACAAAGUUUAUUGCCAAUAACCGGCCCAGAAACCUGGGAUACUGGUUACGCUCUUCUUCCUCUCAGGCGCAGGUCUGGGCCUGUGUGAUACUCUGUCUGUUUUCAGUGUAUGGCCUGCACGGUGUGACACUUUAUAAGGUUAGCAAGCACUGUGACCCAGCGGACCAGACCUGCCCACCUGAGGAGGGUAGCUUACUGUACUGUAUGUAGCCUUGUGAAUUAUAUUAGCCUUUUACCCAUUAACAGCUGAUGAAAUUGACAUUGUAACCAUGUUUUAAUAUUUGUUAAAUAAAGCUGGAUU